rnacentral:rRNA from 1 species
CACGUAGGCACCAAGCGUUGUCCGGAUUUAUUGGGCGUAAGGAGCUCGUAGGCGGUUGAGUAAGUCGGGUGUGAAAACUCUGGGCUUAACCCAGAGCCGCCACCCGAUACUGCUCUGACUUGAGUUCGGUAGGGGAGCAGGGAAUUCCUAGUGUAGCGGUGAAAUGCGCAGAUAUUAGGAGGAACACCGGUGGCGAAGGCGCUGCUCUGGGCCGAUACUGACGCUGAGGAGCGAAAGCGUGGGUAGCAAACAGG